UACGGGGGGAGCAAGCGUUGUUCGGAUUUACUGGGCGUAAAGGGCGCGUAGGCGGCCAGCACAAGUCAGUUGUGAAAUCUCCGGGCUUAACUCGGAAAGGUCAACUGAUACUGUGCGGCUAGAGUGCAGAAGGGGCAACUGGAAUUCUCGGUGUAGCGGUGAAAUGCGUAGAUAUCAGGAGGAACACCUGCGGUGUAGACGGCUUACUGGACCAUGACUGACACUGAAACUCGAAAGUGUGGGGAGCAAACAGG
rnacentral:rRNA from 1 species